rnacentral:lncRNA from 1 species
GGACUGUCUCCUUGUGACAUCACUAGGUUCCAACCCGCUUCUCUCUCCUCCAGGCUUCAGAGAGAGAGAGAGAGAGAGAGAUCUUUCCAGGCAAGCACAAUGCCCUCCAUCAAGACGUUUGGCUGUACAAAUGUUUGAAUUAUGGCAUGUAGGUCACUUCCACAAAGAGGACAACUAUUUCUGACUGAGGAUCAACACCCGGAAGGCCCAAAGGCGAGUGGUGGAAGCCAGAAAGCCUGCACCAGUGCGGGGAAGGAUUUGGGCCACCAGGCUGAGGGACCUAAAUUGGAGACAGGAAGUGAUGCUCACGGUGAAGAUCAGAGCUCCCCUGACAGAACAGCAGCCGUUCCCAGGGACAGCAAGGCCCCAAGCUCCUCCUUCAAUAAGAACAGCCCAGUUCACAUCAGGAAACCAUCCACAGCAAGCUUCUCCUAGAAAAUCAACAGCCCACAGUCUUCCCCUCCAGGUCUCUUUUUAUGCCAUUGGCAGUAAUCCUCAGGUGGGUCUUUCAUGCCUAGACCACACUGUUCAGUUCAGCUGGGCGUUACAAGUUGACCAUUAGUUAAUCCACCACAUUAUUUAUAUCAUUCAUGGGGAGCCAGGUAUUUGCAUGCAACUAAAGUAAUCGGACAUGGCCUACCUGCAAGGGAUGAGGGAAAUGUUACUGCACACAGAGGGGCAGACUGGCACCAUCCCAAUUCAGCUGGUGUCUCCUGUCACCAGCUGUUGGUCAGCCAGAUGUCCAAGCCCCUGAUGUGCUGCAAAUAUCAAGUAUGUGACAUUGCAGAAGAUGAACUCUGAAACGAUCGAGCUUUCAGAUCUAUCUGCCUAUUUGUAGAAACUAAAGAGCUGGAGGGUUAAACUGAGAAAGACCGCACAGAAGUAACCACACAAAUAAAAGAGGGUGAGAGUUUUCCCCAGAGAAGUUAGCCUCUGAGUUGUUUCUCAGUAAGUUGGUAUCAUGGAUCAAGGAAGGUGACAGGAAAUAAACCAUGCUGCUUGAAAAGAGGUACAAGGGCCAUUGCCACCAGACUCAAUGCGUGGCCAUGGAUUUGGGUCCAGAUUUAGCCAGAACAACUCUGGAAGAUACUUAACAGACAGUUGAGGAAUUUUGUUAUUGCAUAGGGGAUUUUUUACAUAAAAAUUGUAUAUUAUUUGCUUUAAAAUAUAACUGGUACCAUCUCCUCUUGGUAAGGACAUGUGUCUCUCUGUAGAGAAAGGAGCUGUGGGUGUGUCCCCCAGGGUGGACAAUGUCUUCUCUGGUUGGUAGCAGAAUGCAUUUCACUUUUGUUUAUUGUUCUAAUCUCUAUUUUCCAACUUUACAUAGUCAUCAUGCAGCUUUUGAAAUGAAUAAAACAUGUUCAAUUGAGUAAAAUAAGCAUUCUUAAUAAAGAUACAUGUCCAAGUCCUUUAAAAAGUAUUAAAUUUUGCUUUCCAGAACUUUGGCUUCUGUUUUGAGUGCAUUCUCCUCAGAAUUUCUGAGUGGCUCAGAAAACAUGUUUUUCUUCCUUUAGAUUUCACAAAGUUAUCCAACCUAACCUAGAAGAAAUCCUUUCCAAAUCCCUUGAGAAAACUUCUUUUUCACUGAACUUUGACCCCACCAGAAGCAAUAUUUGUAAAGAAAAAUCUGUUGCUUCUCUACAAAUUCAGUCUGAUGUUAGAUCAAAGGAAUUCAGAUAAACAGUGGGGCGGUAGAUUUCAAGUUCAAGAUAAAUUUCUAAUUUAAACUUCUAAAGAAGUUUUUGAAGCUGUUACAUAACUAUAACAAAAACUGCAGGAAACAGAAUGAAGGACAACUUUAAUGGUAAGAGCAGUAACAUUUACAAAUGUAUACAAAACUUUAGUGACCUUUAUUAUCAUGUUUAGCAAUGACUGGAAACUGAGGCAGUAAAAAUGGAAUAUGUUGGAUGGAUUAUUACUGGAUGAAUUACAAAUGCAUGAAUUAUCAUUUUAAGAUUUAUAUUAAAAAUUUCAGAAGUACUUACUCUAGUGCCUGUGUAGUCAAUAGCUUUAUUUUCCCAACAGUACCUAGAACAAGGCAUUUCAAGGAGGAUAUUCUCAAAUAUCUUGAAUUUCCUUAGAUUGGACAAAGAGAAUUUCCCAUACUGGAUAUUAAAGCUACUUCUACUCAAUUGUUUGAAAAGAAAAUAAAAAAUGCAGAAAACUGAUCACAACUACGUUACUAUUUGUAUGGCUUUACUCAUAGUAUUAA